rnacentral:rRNA from 1 species
GACGAACGCUGGCGGCGUGCUUAACACAUGCAAGUCGAACGGAAAGGCCCUGCUUUUGUGGGGUGCUCGAGUGGCGAACGGGUGAGUAACACGUGAGUAACCUGCCCUUGACUUUGGGAUAACUUCAGGAAACUGGGGCUAAUACCGGAUAGGAGCUCCUGCUGCAUGGUGGGGGUUGGAAAGUUUCGGCGGUUGGGGAUGGACUCGCGGCUUAUCAGCUUGUUGGUGGGGUAGUGGCUUACCAAGGCUUUGACGGGUAGCCGGCCUGAGAGGGUGACCGGCCACAUUGGGACUGAGAUACGGCCCAGACUCCUACGGGAGGCAGCGGUGGGGGAUAUUGCACAAUGGGCGGAAGCCUGAUGCAGCAACGCCGCGUGCGGGAUGACGGCCUUCGGGUUGUAAACCGCUUUCGCCUGUGACGAAGCGUGAGUGACGGUAAUGGGUAAAGAAGCACCGGCUAACUACGUG